rnacentral:rRNA from 1 species
GAUGAACGCUGGCGGCGUGCCUAAUACAUGCAAGUCGAGCGAAUGGAUUAAGAGCUUGCUCUUAUGAAGUUAGCGGCGGACGGGUGAGUAACACGUGGGUAACCUGCCCAUAAGACUGGGAUAACUCCGGGAAACCGGGGCUAAUACCGGAUAACAUUUUGAACCGCAUGGUUCGAAAUUGAAAGGCGGCUUCGGCUGUCACUUAUGGAUGGACCCGCGUCGCAUCAGCUAGUUGGUGAGGUAACGGCUCACCAAGGCAACGAUGCGUAGCCGAGCUGGGAGGGGGCUCGGCCACACUGGGGCUGAGAAACGGCCCAGACUCCUACGGGAGGCAGCAGUAGGGAAUCUUCCGCAAUGGACGAAAGUCUGACGGAGCAACGCCGCGUGAGUGAUGAAGGCUUUCGGGUCGUAAAACUCUGUUGUUAGGGAAGAACAAGUGCUAGUUGAAUAAGCUGGCACCUUGACGGUACCUAACCAGAAAGCCACGGCUAACUACGUGCCAGCCGCCGCAGUAA